GACGUAGGGCGCGAGCGUUGUCCGGAUUUAUUGGGCGUAAAGAGCUCGUAGGCGGCUUGUCGCGUCGACCGUGAAAACUUGGGGCUCAACCCCAAGCCUGCGGUCGAUACGGGCAGGCUCGAGUUCGGUAGGGGAGACUGGAAUUCCUGGUGUAGCGGUGAAAUGCGCAGAUAUCAGGAGGAACACCGAUGGCGAAGGCGGCUUUCUGGGCCUUACCUGACGCUGAGGAGCGAAAGCUGGGGGAGCGAACAGG
rnacentral:rRNA from 1 species